GCAGCGGAAUCAAGUUCAAAUAAGCCUUAUUCCCAGUCUUGUCAGAGUGCAUCCUAAUAGACCUCUUCAUCAUGGUAUUCUUCCCCAUCAGAAUAACCGAAUCACCUCUCAACCCCUGACGAAUGUUCUGGAGCUGGUUGGAACCAACAUUAUCAGCAGCCGCCACAAGGACCUGGGUGUAGUCAUCAAGAAGCUGGCAAAGCUUCUGGUCGUAAGCGAUCUUCUUAUCGGCCUUUGAGACUUUGCCCAUUGUACGUUUUGAGAUGAUAUGAUAUGAACGGAACAGAUGGUGCCGAGGGCCAAGACAGCGGUGGUGGUGCUGAAACAAGGCGGACAGGCGUGGUGGAAUAGGGUUUAGUAUCUGUAUUAGGUGGUUGAAACCCUAUUGGGCUGGGCUGGGCUUGGGGUGGGAGAAGAAUAUGUGUG
rnacentral:lncRNA from 1 species